AAAGGAGCCUUGGCUAAGCUGGUGGAAGCCAUCAGGACCAACUAUAAUGACAGGUUUGACGAGAUCCGCCGCCACUGGGGUGGCAAUGUGCUGGGCCCCAAGUCGGUGGCCCGAAUCGCCAAGCUAGAAAAGGCCAAGGCCAAAGAACUCGCCACCAAGCUGGGCUAGCUGUGCAUGGCUGGUUUUUGUACAUAAUAAAACUAGUCCUUCA